rnacentral:rRNA from 1 species
AGUGAACGCUGGCGGUAGGCCUAACACAUGCAAGUCGAACGGCAGCACAGUAAGAGCUUGCUCUUACGGGUGGCGAGUGGCGGACGGGUGAGGAAUACAUCGGAAUCUACUUUUUCGUGGGGGAUAACGUAGGGAAACUUACGCUAAUACCGCAUACGACCUACGGGUGAAAGCAGGGGAUCUUCGGACCUUGCGCGAUUGAAUGAGCCGAUGGCGGAUUAGCUAGUUGGCGGGGUAAAGGCCCACCAAGGCGACGAUCCGUAGCUGGUCUGAGAGGAUGAUCAGCCACACUGGAACUGAGACACGGUCCAGACUCCGACGGGAGGCAGCAGUGGGGAAUAUUGGACGAUGGGCGCAAGCCUGAUCCAGCCAUACCGCGUGGGUGAAGAAGGCCUUCGGGUUGUAAAGCCCUUUUGUUGGGAAAGAAAAGCAGCAGGUUAAUACCCCGCUGUUCUGACGGUACCCAAAGAAUAAGCACCGGCUAACUUCGUG